AUACUCUGGUUUCUCUUCAGAUCGUGUAAACCUUCUGUCUUUUAUUAUACUAAAGAUUUCCAUGGAGAGGAACAGUUAUGAGCCUUCACUCAAUUUUUUGAGCCCCCAUUCUUUACGAAAAAAAU
rnacentral:snRNA from 1 species